CCCUUAGAUGUCCUGGGCCGCACGCGCGCUACACUGAUGCAUGCAACGAGUUUAUAACCUUGGCCUGAAAGGUCUGGGUAAUCUUUUGAACGUGCAUCGUGAUAGGGAUAGAUUAUUGCAAUUGUUAAUCUUGAACGAGGAAUUCCUAGUAAGCGCGAGUCAUCAGCUCGCGCUGAUUACGUCCCUGCCCUUUGUACACACCGCCCGUCGCUACUACCGAUUGGAUGGUUUAGCGAGAACUUUGGACCGGAGCUCGGGUGGUCAGCAAUGGCCGCCCGAGACAUACUGGGAAAUCGCUCCAGCUUGAUCAUCUAGAGGAAGUAAAAGUCGUAACA
rnacentral:rRNA from 1 species